rnacentral:lncRNA from 1 species
ACAUAAUGUUGAGGGAAUUCUUUUCGGUGUCGAUGGAGCACGUCUUGAAAUACUCGGUAAGCAGGGUUUGCCUGUUGUUGUCCCACGCGAUGAUACUUUGCAAAUUACGGUUCUUCCAAUAAAAUACUAAGGGUUGAUAUAAAGUUAGAAUUUUCAUAUUUAUAAUUUUGUAUCAAAAUAUGCAGCAAUUUUAAGUGUGUAACUUUAAAAUUUGUGUACCUGAAUGUUUGUCGGGGAGAUGUAGUUGAAGGUUAAUAACUGGAGGUUGCAUUUCAUUUAGACUGAAUUCAUAAAUUCUCCAUACUGCUUCUGGUGGUGAAACCCACCUCGCAUCUUGAAAAAUUUGGAUCUCAUUAAUGAUUUUUUCUCCAUCACCAGACUCAAUAUAAACGACACACCUAUCAUGGCCUUUAUAUAUAUAUACUUGUAAAGGUAUUUUUUUGCCUUUACCCCGAGCAGACCUCGACAUUAAUUUGACAAUUGUAUCUCGUAAGAAGAUAAGCAUUAUAUGGCACAACCCAUUGGUUAUUCAUUUUCAUUCCGCGAACGGUCUCAAACCUUCCAUCAUUUCUUCUUUUGUAAAUUGGAUAGCCAUACUUUGCUUGCAUUGAUUUGUUGAUGAAAGAGCGAGGAUAAUGAUACCUGCAUUGUCCAUCUUGCAUGCAUGAAUUCGUUGGACGAUGUUGUCCACAUGGACCAUGCAUCAUAUGCUUGACUACUAAUUCAUGCAAGAGCGGAUAUUUAGAUUUGUUUGGAAUUUCUGCAGAUAUAAACUUAUCGUACUGAUCUGCUGUUUUUAUCUUGUGGCCUUCUUUCAAUAUGAGGAUAAGGUGUAUAUGAGGUAGCCCUCUCUUUUGCAACAAUUCCAAAUAUUUCUUUUUUGAAAAUUUGGUCUUUUAAGUCCUGCAGUUUUGUCACAAAAGCAACUAAUUUUUUUUCACUUUGAUCUUUUUAUCAAGCAUUGGAUUGUGUUUGUCAUUGUUAUCUUUAUUCUUGUUGCUCCUCUUCCUUCUUAGCUUAAUUAAUGGCGUGUCAACGUAAUUUCAUCGGUCGGAACAACUUUUAUAACUUCAUGUAUUUCCUCAGCAACCAAAUUGUUGCUCCUAUCUUCUUUUGCAAUUGUUCGAUCAAUCUUCACGAGAAUAUUGAAUUCUUUUCCCUUACUCAAAAUCAACUUGCGAUAAUACUUUGAUUCCUCUUUCUGUAGGAGUAAAAAUGCAAAUACAUUAGUAUAAAUAUCGGCUAAAACAUAUGGAGAACUUAUUCAACCUGAAUGUUUCUUUUGUCUAAUAUGUAUUUUACCUUUUCAGAUGGUGAAUCAACAUACUCUUUGACAUCGCAACCAAAAAAGUAUCAUGCACCGUCAAACAACCUAAUACUUAUAUAUUGUUCUUCCGUAGAAACAUCAAAGUUUAACCUAUAUCUAAAGCACAAUUCAAUAAUUAGAUCAUUAACUCUUCAAUUGUUAGUUCUGGAUAAUAUAUAUGUUCAUGUAUUUUACCUUUCAUCAUAAUCAAUAUCUUCUAUCUUACAGUAGCCACAAGUGGCACUACUCUUUAUAACAGUUACUCGCUUGUGGCAUUUCUUGCAAGCAUGGUACCAUGGGUCAUGGUUACUGUUGAUGUCAGUAAUUUUUGCUUUGAACUUACAAUAUAUGCCCUAUACUUAAAUUAGGAGGGACAUUUUGUUAGGUUGUAAACAUAUAAAUGUAGGAUACAUUGUGCUAGAUUUUUGAAGGUAAAUGUACCUUCAAGUUGACAAUUGAGCCGUC